rnacentral:rRNA from 1 species
UACUAUACUAAAUUAUAAUUAAAAAACUUGAAUAUUAUAAGAUACAGUCUUUAAAUUCAAAGAAUUUGGCGGUAAUUUAGUCUUUCCAGAGGAACCUGUUUUUUAAUCGAUAAGCCACGAAUAAUCUUACUUGUCAAAUUUAAUGAAAGUUUGUAUACCGUCAUUAUCAGAUAAUAUUCGAAGAUUAAUUAUUAAACUUUAAAUAUUAAGGAAAAUUAGAUCAAGGUGCAGCUUAUAGGCAAGACAAAAUGGGUUACAAUUAAAUAAAUAUAAAAUGAAAUUUGACUUGAAAGAGUCUUAGGAAGGAGGAUUUGGUUGUAAUAGAGGAUAGUAAGAUAAAAAGAUAUAAGCUCUAAAUUGU